AUGGGUGAAGGAUCCGGAGCAGGCGGUGGCUUGGGAUACGGUGAGAGUAGUGGAAAUGGCAGAAACAAGUAUAACUCUGCCAAGGGAGCUGGUGGAGGAGCGGGAAACGGUGCUGGUGGUGGUUCUCAAGGCGGAGCCGGAUCCGGUUCCGGGGGUGGCUAUGGCACCGGUGCUGGUGCGAGUGGCUCGGCAUCAGCCCCUAGUGGCAACGGGUAUGCCAACGCUGUUGGUCAGGGUGGGGGCGGUGGUGGUUCAGAUGGGUCAAGCGGGUUUGGAGCCGGAAGUGGUGUUGGCAAAGGAUAUGGUGUGAGUGGCAUAGCAACCGCACCGGCUCCUUCUGCUGGUGGUGUCCGCUACUCUGAUGCUGGCGGUGGUGGUAACGGUGGUGGUGGCGGUGGAAAUGGAGGUGGUAAUGGCGCUGGAGGUGGACAUGCUUCCAGCGACGACAUUUCUGGAGGCAAUGCUAGUGGAGGGGGUAGCGGCAAUGGUGGUGGCCAAACUGGAGGUGUCGCUCAAGGUCCAAGCAUGGGAGUUGGUUCUGGCUUGGCUCUGGAGGCGGACAGACUAGUAGCACUGGCUCCUAUGGUCAAGGCUAUGCCGUCGGAACUGGUGACGGAGCGGGUGGUGGCGGUGGCAGCAGCAACAAUGAUGGGUCUGCCGGUGGAUCUGGUGGCGGAUCCGGAUCCAGCAGCAGUGGAUACCCCUAAAUUUUACUUCUAA
rnacentral:rRNA from 1 species